rnacentral:rRNA from 1 species
UAUUUCCUUCGGGAGGCAGCAGUAAGGAAUAUUGGGCAAUGGUCGCAAGAGUGAUCCAGCCAUGCCGCGUGCAGGAAGACGGCCCUAUGGGUUGUAAACUGCUUUUGAACUAGAGAAAACCCCCCUUCGUGAAGGGGGCUGAUAGUAUAGUAAGAAUAAGCAUCGGCUAACUUCGUGCCAGCAGCCGCGGUAAUACGGAGGAUGCAAGCGUUAUCCGGAUUCAUUGGGUUUAAAGGGAGCGUAGGGGGAUUUUUAAGUCAGUGGUGAAAGCCGGCCGCUUAACGGUAGAAUUGCCAUUGAUACUGCGGAUCUUGAGUACGGUUGCGGUGGGCGGAAUAUGACAUGUAGAGGUGAAAUUCAUAGAGAUGUCAUAGAACACCGAUUGCGAAGGCAGCUCACAAAGCCAUUACUGACACUGAGGCUCGAAAGUGCGGGGAUCAAACAGGAUUAGAUACCCUGGUAGUCCGCACUGUAAACGAUAAAUACUCGCUGUUAGGAGGUAACUUUUAGUGGCCAAGCGAACGCGAUAAGUAAUCAUCCUGAGUAGCUGCGUGGG